rnacentral:rRNA from 1 species
AUUGAACGCUGGCGGCAGGCCUAACACAUGCAAGUCGAGCGGAUGAAGGGAGCUUGCUCCUGGAUUCAGCGGCGGACGGGUGAGUAAUGCCUAGGAAUCUGCCUGGUAGUGGGGGAUAACGUCCGGAAACGGGCGUUAAUACCGCAUACGUCCUGAGGGAGAAAGUGGGGGAUCUUCGGACCUCACGCUAUCAGAUGAGCCUAGGUCGGAUUAGCUAGUUGGUGGGGUAAAGGCCUACCAAGGCGACAAUCCGUAACUGGUCUGAGAGGAUGAUCAGUCACACUGGAACUGAGACACGGUCCAGACUCCUACGGGAGGCAGCAGUGGGGAAUAUUGGACAAUGGGCGAAAGCCUGAUCCAGCCAUGCCGCGUGUGUGAAGAAGGUCUUCGGAUUGUAAAGCACUUUAAGUUGGGAGGAAGGGCAGUAAGUUAAUACCUUGCUGUUUUGACGUUACCAACAGAAUAAGCACCGGCUAACUUCGUG